rnacentral:rRNA from 1 species
UACAGAGGGUGCAAGCGUUAAUCGGAAUUACUGGGCGUAAAGCGAGCGUAGUCGGUUAUUUAAGUCGGAUGUGAAAUCCCCGGGCUCAACCUGGGAAUUGCAUUCGAUACUGGAUAGCUAGAGUUCGGCAGAGGGGAGCGGAAUUUCUGGUGUAGCGGUGAAAUGCGUAGAUAUCAGAAGGAACAUCAGUGGCGAAAGCGGCUUCCUGGACCAGAACUGACGAUCAGGCUCGAAAGCGUGGGGAGCAAACAGG